rnacentral:rRNA from 1 species
GAUGAACGCUGGCGGCGUGCUUAACACAUGCAAGUCGAACGAUGAAGCCCAGCUUGCUGGGUGGAUUAGUGGCGAACGGGUGAGUAACACGUGAGUAACCUGCCCUUAACUCUGGGAUAAGCCUGGGAAACUGGGUCUAAUACCGGAUAGGAGCGUCCACCGCAUGGUGGGUGUUGGAAAGAUUUAUCGGUUUUGGAUGGACUCGCGGCCUAUCAGCUUGUUGGUGAGGUAAUGGCUCACCAAGGCGACGACGGGUAGCCGGCCUGAGAGGGUGACCGGCCACACUGGGACUGAGACACGGCCCAGAAUCCUACGGGAGGCAGCAGUGGGGAAUAUUGCACAAUGGGCGCAAGCCUGAGGCAGCGACGCCGCGUGAGGGAUGACGGCCUUCGGGUUGUAAACCUCUUUCAGUAGGGAAGAAGCGAAAGUGACGGUACCUGCAGAAGAAGCACCGGCUAACUACGUG